rnacentral:rRNA from 1 species
AUUGAACGCUGGCGGCAUGCCUUACACAUGCAAGUCGAACGGCAGCACGGGUGCUUGCACCUGGUGGCGAGUGGCGAACGGGUGAGUAAUACAUCGGCACAUGUCCUGUAGUGGGGGAUAGCCCGGCGAAAGCCGGAUUAAUACCGCAUACGAUCUACGGAUGAAAGCGGGGGCCCUUCGGGCCUCGCGCUAUAGGGUUGGCCGAUGGCUGAUUAGCUAGUUGGUGGGGUAAAGGCCUACCAAGGCGACGAUCAGUAGCUGGUCUGAGAGGACGACCAGCCACACUGGGACUGAGACACGGCCCAGACUCCUACGGGAGGCAGCAGUGGGGAAUUUUGGACAAUGGGCGAAAGCCUGAUCCAGCAAUGCCGCGUGUGUGAAGAAGGCCUUCGGGUUGUAAAGCACUUUUGUCCGGAAAGAAAUGCUUGGCCCUAAUACGGUCGGGGGAUGACGGUACCGGAAGAAUAAGCACCGGCUAACUACGUG